rnacentral:rRNA from 1 species
AGAGUUUGAUGGUGGCUCAGAACGAACGUUGGCGGCGUGGAUUAGGCAUGCAAGUCGAGCGGGAUCCUAUUUUUUCAAUUCUUCGGAAGAGAAGUUUUAGGUGAGAGCGGCGAACGGGUGAGUAAUACUUGGGUAAUUUGCCUCUUUGUUCGGGAUAGCCACUGGAAACGGUGAUUAAUACCGGAUGUGUUCGGGAGUCGCAUGACUCCUUAUAUAAAGGCGGGGAUCUUCGGACCUGUCGCAAAGAGAUAAGCCCAAGUCCUAUCAGCUUGUUGGUGAGGUAACGGCUCACCAAGGCUUACGGGUAGCUGGUCUGAGAGGAUGGUCAGCCACACUGGGACUGAGACACUGCCCAGACUCCUACGGGAGGCUGCAGUCGAGAAUCAUUGUCAAUGCACGAAAGUGUGAACAUGCGACGCCGCGUGGAGGAAGACGGCCUUUGGGUUGUAAACUCCUGUCAGCAGGGAGGAAUUACGAGAUUGCUAAUAUCAAUUUCGUUUGACAGUACCUGCAGAGGAAGUCACGGCUAACUCUGUGCCAGCAGCCGCGGUAAUACAGAGGUGGCGAACGUUGUUCGGAUUUACUGGGCGUAAAGGGUCCGCAGGCGGCUUGGUGUGUCAGAUGUGAAAGCUCACGGCUCAACCGUGGAAUUGCAUUUGAAACUGCCAGGCUAGAGUACUGGAGGGGAGAAGGGAACACUUGGUGUAGCGGUGAAAUGCGUAGAUAUCAAGUGGAACACCGGCGGCGAAGGCGCUUCUCUGGACAGAUACUGACGCUCAUG